AUCUAGCUGACGAGUCCCAAAUAGAAAGAAAUGCGUGUCCUGGAU
rnacentral:hammerhead_ribozyme from 2 species